AAGUCUUGAUCGGGAGAGACCAGCGUACGCUGGCGCCGAAGGGGCAUUACCCAGAAACUCUCAGGCAAAAGGACCGGUCAGGGGGC
rnacentral:ncRNA from 2 species